GAUCCAACACACAUCUUCGUGAAUACUAGUCGGGUUAGUUACACCUGAGCCACAAAGGGAAUUCCUCAACAAAUGGAUUUUAACUGCCUUUUCAUUUCUGAUUUACAUGACACCUGUGACAAUUUAGUAAUGGUGGCUGGGGCUUGUCUUCUCUCUUGAGACAUGAAUGUGGGACUCCGUUGCAUCAAGAGACUGAAAGAAAAUAUUGUACCUACUUAAGGCAAAUCAUAACCUGUAAGAUGACAUAUGGCCUAGAUGAUCUCUAAAGAUAUUUCCUAGGUAAUUUUCUGUGAUUCUAAAUUCAAUUUGCUAUGUGGAAAAGACUCAAGAAUAUUGUUCUAAAAUGCCGGACUAGUUGCCCAGCAGAUGGUGCUGCUGCCACAUACUUGCAGAAGCAAAAAAAACGGUUGCUCCUCAUAAAUUGUAAGAUACUUUAUAACAUAGGCUCUGGAAAUUUCCAUGCGGGAAUGAAAACUUUGUAGUGAUAAAUUCCAUUGACACUGGGUUUUCGUCUUCUCUUACAUUGUGCCCCAAAAUUCAAAUGUGACUUUAUAUCACCUUCCUGCUCCUUUUUUUCCCCUUCUUGAUCUGAUCAUGUUUACCUUUAUAACUGCUCAGAAUUUACACAGUAAAUGAACACCAACACCAUACCACCUGCUAAUUCAUUUCAUUUCAUUAAUUCAUUUAUUCAGGACAUAUUGAAUGAGUGCCUGUAUCUGUUCCAGGCACUAAUCUAGGCAUCAAGGUGGCCGCAGUGGAGAUGGUCAAAGAUACUGACCUUCUGGAUCUUAAAGCUCUAAUUUGCUGAGGAGUAAGGCAUUGUAGGCAUUUUGCUAUUGUUUUCUUUUUGAAAGCACUAGUUUAAAAAUAUAGCCUGGUUUCUCAUACAAAAUAUAUUGGGCAGACUCUUGCUUCUGUGAAUCUUCUCUUGGCCAAAUCCUCUGAGUUUAACCCAGGACUGUACAAAUUUACUAAAACAGCCUUUUUCUUUUCAAAUGUUCCAGACAGUUAACCAAUUUGCAAAUCCAUAUAAUAGAUGGUCAUCUCCUCAAAGGGGAGAAAUACCACCGUCACCUCCCUCUCUGCAAUUUAGGAAAAUUUCAAAUUACGUCACUUAGCAAUGCUCAGAAAGAAGAUUCUAUUUAAAGAGGAAGCCUAUUUUUAUGAAUCUAGAUGUGGUUAUAUUUAUAAGUGACAUAUACCUUUGAACGCUUUAUCAUCAUGAUCUGGCACAGCCUCAUCAAUUCCAUCAUCAAAGCUGUUUCGGUGACAUUUAAUAGAACCCCACCUUCUUGAAUGGGGGAUGUAAAUUUUUAGUAUAGUGAAACCAUUUUUUAAAAAUGGUAAUUACUUUAGGAGUGCAAACUCCCCACAUAUUUCUUGUAGCCUGGGCUCAUACUGUGGUUUACUACAUUCCCUUGUUUUCAUCCAAUAGAAAUGCUGACCCAUUGGUACAAUUUAUGUUACAGCCAAAGAAGAAAGCAAAAAGAGGCCAGUGAAGGAUGAUUGAUUGAUUCUGUGUUUGUAAUUGGGGUUGAUUGACAUGGUCUGAUACUCUGCGUCCCAGGCUGGAGUGGUUUGGUCAUUAAGCAGUCAUUCAGGCUCAGAAACAAGGGACCCAGAUGUGCUCUGCUGUCUGUUCUGGGGCACAGGGUUGGGCAUUUACAAUAUAAUGAAAGCCCAGCAUUCGGGCUUGUGUCUAAGACCCAGUCAGCAUCAAAGUCAGCUAAACGACAGCUGGCAUUUUAAAGGGCUUGCUAAGAGCUCGGCCCCAUGCACCAGUGUUUUAUAAGCUUUACCUUCAACCUUCAUAACUCUAUUGCCCCCCUUUUCCAGUUGGGGGUGCAGAGGGGGUAAGGAAUUUGCAAAAAAAAAAAAAUCACUUAGAUGAUGAAGCCAGAAUUUAAUGCAGAAGCCGGAACUCUUAACCAUUAUACUCUCUGCCCUCGGAUUUUCUUCAGUAAGUCCCACUGCUCUGGGUUCCUAGGUCCUAAUGCCCCCCUGCCUAAUUUCCUGGAGGCAGGUCUUAGAAGUGGAGGGUGGAGCCGAGUCAAAGGUCAAAGGUCUCAGCGUGAGGUCAGAAGCCUGUUGGGGUUUAGAUUGAUCAUCAUCUGGCCGUUUUCCCAGGCACAGGAAGCAGCCUGGGAGCCCUCAAACUUGCUGCCUCUUGGGGCACGUGGGUCAGCCUUGCCCUGCCAGUGACGCUGGAGCACGAGGGGACUUUUCUCUGAUAUAUACUGUGAGAUCCUGAUCAAGCUCCUGGAGUUAAAACUCACGGAAGUGUGGAGGGCCUUUCUAUGAUUGGAUCCACUUGGAUCUGAGAUUUGCCCAUUUUGAGCCUACAGCAAUUCCUCAUUUCCAGUUCUAGCUCCCAUGCAGUCUGCGGCUCUUGAAAUGUCUGCUCAGAGGAAACCAUUAGUUUUCAUGGACCUGAGUUCUCAGCCAACUCUUAAAUACUUAAGCACCCCCAAUGGACCACUACACAUACUCUCUAAUCCUAGAAUUUUCAAUUGCUUCUCCAGUCUCUAGUACAGAUAGAUUCCUCUAUGAAGAAUAAACUGGAUACUAGUCAAAUUCUUUUCUGCUGAGACACAACGGGAGCUCCCAGAACCUGCUUCUUAUUGGGAGCACCAAUGUGCCCAGACUCUCAAGUUACUUGCCUUAUGAUCACAAGGUGAGAUGGCUGAUGAAGUUCUAUGCAUCAGAGCAUCCCAUGUCCACAUUCGAGGCAGGAAGAAGAGUGAAGGAGCUGUCCCAGAAAGUACUCUUUGCACAUUCAUCCCUUUCUAGGGAAAAAAAGAUCCUUUCCGGAAGUUCCCAACAGACUUCCUCUUCCAUUUAGCUGACUGGAACUGUGUCACAUGGAUAGUUUUAGCUAUAGAAGAGACCAAGAAUGUAAGUACUUCUUUUAACCUCUUUCAUAGGAAGUGUCAGAGAAGAGGGUUGGGAUUACUAUUGUGUACCAACUGACAGCAUCUGCCAUACUUUAUUCACUGUGCUGAGAGAUUAUUUCCGGGCUGCCUAACCUUAACUUUAGACUCCUAGCAGUUUUGCAGUUUCCUAGAUAUGUUGAAGAGGGAGAGGCCCAUUUUUCAGAGAGGUCCUGGCUUAAACCUCCUGUGGGCCUAUAAGUUAAACAGAAUUUUCCCACCACUUUGGGAUUCUGUUUUUCAUGUUUUGGUUUGUUUUACUGCUUGUUUAUUAUCCCAGGAACUAUAGUAUAGCCAUAACAGAAAAUUACAUAAUUAUUUUGUGUAACUGAAACAGACAAGAAAACAAUUCAGAGCUUUUAUUUUUAAAGGUUAUCAAUGAACUUAGAAUAUCAAAAUGGAAUGAAAUUUACUGUGACUCUCCCUUUGGGAUAUAAUUGGGCUAUCACUGAGCUCCCCAAAUAGCAAACCCUGAAAAGAAAGACUCAAUUUUAACUAACAACAUAUACAUCUUUACCCAAAUCCUUUUGCCUGACCCUCAUUAAUACAACCAAAAUCUGGAGUUCCUGUUGUGGCUCAUUGGUUAAUGAAUCCAACUAGGAACCAUGAA